rnacentral:rRNA from 1 species
UACGAAGGGGGCUAGCGUUGUUCGGAAUCACUGGGCGUAAAGGGUGCGUAGGCGGAUUCUUAAGUCAGGGGUGAAAUCCCGAGGCUCAACCUCGGAACUGCCUUUGAUACUGGGGAUCUUGAGUCCGGAAGAGGUGAGUGGAACUGCGAGUGUAGAGGUGAAAUUCGUAGAUAUUCGCAAGAACACCGGUGGCGAAGGCGGCUCACUGGUCCGGAACUGACGCUGAGGUGCGAAAGCGUGGGGAGCAAACAGG